UACGGGGGGGGCAAGCGUUGUUCGGAAUUACUGGGCGUAAAGGGUGCGUAGGCGGUGAGGUAAGUCUGACGUGAAAUCUCCAAGCUCAACUUGGAACUGCGUUGGAUACUAUCUCGCUUGAGGAAUGGAGGGGAGACUGGAAUACUUGGUGUAGCAGUGAAAUGCGUAGAUAUCAAGUGGAACACCAGUGGCGAAGGCGAGUCUCUGGACAUUUCCUGACGCUGAGGCACGAAAGCCAGGGGAGCAAACGGG
rnacentral:rRNA from 1 species